GUGGACAUGGCAGUGGCGGUCGGAGCAUGCAUCCUAAUGCUAACCCUAUCUUUCAACAGAGAAAUCAUCAGCAGAGACGUUCAGCGCCAUAUCAGUAGCAGUAUUUUCAGAACCAGCAAACACAGCUGACGGAAGGCAGAGUUCCUUCACUCUUUUUUUUCCUUCCUUUUUGACGAAAUUAUAGAUUUUUUAUCAAUUCAUAAAUUUUAUUAAUGAUUGGAGGAAAACAUGUCUUUAUAGAAGAAUUAUACCAAAAAGUAGAAGACAUACAAAGUUAUAUAGACCUCUAGUAGUCUAGUGUUAGACAAAUUAUUGAAUACUGGAUUGACGACAAUUCUAAAUGGAGUGAUAUAGACAGUAAGGAUGUAUAACCCAAACAAGUUUGGAAUCGAGGCGUAGCUGUAGCCUGUAUUUUUUUUUUUCCUUUUUUGGUGUCUUUGGUUCUUAUGGUAUAUAUUGUUCAUAUUGAAAGUUGUCGGACGAGUAUAAGAUUGAGCUGAAUUAUCAUGGACUUGUUGUUGGUUGAGAACUAGUAAUAACUAGAUUAAAUAUGUUAAGUUAGAAUUGAAUCAUCGAUUAUUGGAGAAUAGUUGAAUUGGCAUUUUAGUGGGUGUCAAUGUUUUGUAUAGCUGAACGACUUCUCUUGCUAAAUCUUUUUAAGUUAGUUUGAGUUGCUUGUAAGAAUCUUCUAGCUGGAUAGCAAAGUUUCUGGUUCUCAAGAUAUUAGCGCGACGUUUAGGGCCUUAAACUGCUUUUCCAAGAUGUCUAUAUACACGUCUUGACCUGUACCAGCAUUCAUUUUAGUUUGUUGAUUAAUAACAAAUAAUAUGCUUUUCGGUAGGGCUCGCUUUUGAGCUCCAUUGAAGUAGGUUCAAACUGAAAUCUAGUUGGGCUUGAGAACUGCACUUUCAUGUUGAGGUAAAUUUGAGCCAUGACUAUGAGUUCAAUCUCAAAUGAGUUAACUGCAUUUCAUUCCUUUCCUUUCAUAUGAAGCACUAAUAGUCCUCCAUGUUUAAAAUAUUGGACUUUUAUUCCCCUGCCUAACCUUUGUUUAAAUUUUAAUCUAUUGUAAUAUUCAGACGUACAUUUUUAAAUUUAAUACACAUUUUAAUAGUCAGUUGUUUUAUUCUGAUUCAGAUGUUCUUAUUCAACGGAAAGUACAAGUAACCAACUCUAUAACCGAAGCCAAGAGACAAGAAACUAACAACCAUAUAACCACAAGAAAUACAUUGGAAACUCCGUAUGCUUUAACUAUUUGUUGUUGCCCUUUGCUUGAACUUCCGUUCGAUGCUGACUUGUAUUAUGUUGGAAUUACUGUCAUCUUGGUAAGCUUAGAUGGUUCCCAAUUCUCAAGUGAAUAUAUCCAGCAAUAAACAGUCCAACAAAGCUCUGUUAAUUGCAGAAAAGAACUAACUCCAGUAAUUCUUGAUUGAAUCACCAACCAAUAUCAUAUGGCAAGUUUGGAGGUACUAUAUUUCCCCCCUUUUUUACUAUCAAUUACAUAUACUUCACAAGGUGGUUUAAUUUAUCGCUAAAUUUAC
rnacentral:lncRNA from 1 species